rnacentral:rRNA from 1 species
CCUACGGGAGGCAGCAGUGGGGAAUAUUGGACAAUGGGGGGAACCCUGAUCCAGCGACGCCGCGUGAGUGAAGAAGUAUUUCGGGAUGUAAAGCUCUAUCAGCAGGGAAGAAAAUGACGGUACAUGACUAAGAAGCCCCGGCUAACUACGUGCCAGCCGCCGCGGUAAUACGUAGGGGGCAAGCGUUAUCCGGAUUUACUGGGUGUAAAGGGGGCGUAGACGGUGCAGCAAGUCUGAUGUGAAAGGUCGGGGCCCAACCCCGGGACUGCAUUGGAAACUGUUGAACUGGAGUACAGGAGAGGUAAGCGGAAUUCCUAGUGUAGCGGUGAACUGCGUAGAUAUUAGGAGGAACACCAGUGGCGAAGGCGGCUUACUGGACUGUAACUGACGUUGAGGCUCGAAAGCGUGGGGAGCAAACAGGAUUAGAUACCCCUGUAGUC